CAGUAGCCACGGUAAUACGUAGGGUGCAAGCGUUAAUCGGAAUUACUGGGCGUAAAGCGUGCGCAGGCGGUUAUAUAAGACAGAUGUGAAAUCCCCGGGCUCAACCUGGGAACUGCAUUUGUGACUGUAUAGCUAGAGUACGGCAGAGGGGGAUGGAAUUCCGCGUGUAGCAGUGAAAUGCGUAGAUAUGCGGAGGAACACCGAUGGCGAAGACAGCCCCCUGGGCCAAUACUGACGCUCAUGCACGAAAGCGUGGGGAGCAAACAGGAUUAGAUACCCGGGUAGUCCCUGUCUCUUAUAC
rnacentral:rRNA from 1 species